rnacentral:rRNA from 1 species
GACGAACCGUGCGAACGUUAUUCGGAAUCACUGGGCCUAAAGCGCGUGUAGGCGGCCCGGCACGUCUCUGGCUGAAAUCCCCCGGCUCAACCGGGGAAGGGGCCGGGAUACGACCGGGCUGGAGGGGGGUAGGGGGGACGGGAACUCCGGGUGGAGCGGUGAAAUGCGUUGAGAUCCGGAGGAACGCCCGCGGCGAAAGCGCGUCCCUGGACCCCGCCUGACGCUGAGACGCGAAAGCCAGGGGA